rnacentral:ribozyme from 1 species
CCCCAGCGAUGUGCAGGCACCUCUCUGUGGUGCUGGGGACUAGUAUUCGAGUAGCGCAAGGGCAUUCGAAGAAGCAAAGACCUGU